rnacentral:rRNA from 1 species
GACGAAGGAUGCAAGCGUUAUCCGGAUUCAUUGGGUUUAAAGGGCGCGUAGGCGGAUGGUACAGUCAGACGUGAAAUUCCUGGGCUCAACCUGGGGGCUGCGUUUGAUACGUGCUGUCUGGAGUUCGGAAGAGGGUCGUGGAAUUCCCAGUGUAGAGGUGAAAUUCGUAGAUAUUGGGAAGAACACCGGUGGCGAAGGCGGCGACCUGGUCCGAUACUGACGCUGAGGCGCGAAAGCGUGGGGAGCAAACAGG